rnacentral:rRNA from 1 species
GGAGUCUGGGCCGUGUCUCAGUCCCAAUGUGGCCGGUCAACCUCUCAGUCCGGCUACUGAUCGUCGGCUUGGUGGGCCGUUACCCCGCCAACUACCUAAUCAGACGCGAGGCCAUCUCAGAGCGAUAAAUCUUUGGCAGUCAGAGCCAUGCGACUCAACUGCUUCAUGCGGUAUUAGCACAAAUUUCUCUGUGUUAUUCCCCCUCUCCAAGGCAGGUUCCUCACGCGUUACUCACCCGUCCGCCACUAAGUAUUUCAAAUGAUUCUUCGGAAGCAAGCUUCCUCGGUCUCGGGAGAAAUACUCCGUUCGACUUGCAUGUGUUAAGCACGCCGCCAGCGUUUAUC